UACGGAGGGGGCGAGCGUUAUUCGGAAUCAUUGGGCGUAAAGGGCGCGUAGGCGGCCCCGUAAGUCUUGGGUGAAAGCCCUCGGCUCAACCGAGGAAUUGCCCUUGGAUACUGCGGGGCUCGAGGCUGGAAGAGGGCAGUGGAAUUCCCGGUGUAGCGGUGAAAUGCGUAGAUAUCUGGAGGAACACCGGUGGCGAAGGCGGCGUUCUGGACUGCAACUGACACUGAGGAACGAAAGCCAGGGGAGCAAAACGGG
rnacentral:rRNA from 1 species